rnacentral:rRNA from 1 species
UACGUAGGUGGCGAGCGUUGUCCGGAUUUACUGGGCGUAAAGAGCGCGCAGGCGGUCGUUCAAGUCGCGUGUGAAAGCCCCCGGCUCAACUGGGGAGGGUCACGCGAUACUGAUCGACUCGAAGGCAGGAGAGGGUAGUGGAAUUCCCGGUGUAGUGGUGAAAUGCGUAGAUAUCAGGAGGAACACCGGUGGCGAAGGCGGGUCUCUGGGCCGAUACUGACGCUGAGGAGCGAAAGCGUGGGAAGCAAACAGG